rnacentral:rRNA from 1 species
UACAGAGGGGGCAAGCGUUGCUCGGAAUCACUGGGCGUAAAGGGCGCGUAGGCGGGAUGGCAAGUCGGUCGUGAAAUCUCUCGGCUCAACCGAGAAACGUCGGCCGAUACUGCCGUUCUUGAGGGAUGCAGAGGAGACUGGAAUUCCCGGUGUAGCGGUGAAAUGUGUAGAGAUCGGGAGGAACACCGGUGGCGAAGGCGGGUCUCUGGGCAUUUCCUGACGCUGAGGCGCGAAAGCGUGGGGAGCAAACGGG